GAGGGUACAGCUCAGUGGUGGAGCGCACGCCUAGCAUGCACUAGGUCUUGGGUUCAGUCCCCAAUACCUCCA
rnacentral:tRNA from 1 species